rnacentral:rRNA from 1 species
AUGAACGCUGGCGGCGUGCCUAAUACAUGCAAGUCUAGCGAACGGACGAGAAGCUUGCUUCUCUGAUGUUAGCGGCGGACGGGUGAGUAACACGUGGAUAACCUACCUAUAAGACUGGGAUAACUUCGGGAAACCGGAGCUAAUACCGGAUAAUAUUUUGAACCGCAUGGUUCAAAAGUGAAAGACGGUCUUGCUGUCACUUAUAGAUGGAUCCGCGCUGCAUUAGCUAGUUGGUAAGGUAACGGCUUACCAAGGCAACGAUGCAUAGCCGACCUGAGAGGGUGAUCGGCCACACUGGAACUGAGACACGGUCCAGACUCCUACGGGAGGCAGCAGUAGGGAAUCUUCCGCAAUGGGCGAAAGCCUGACGGAGCAACGCCGCGUGAGUGAUGAAGGUCUUCGGAUCGUAAAACUCUGUUAUUAGGGAAGAACAUAUGUGUAAGUAACUGUGCACAUCUUGACGGUACCUAAUCAGAAAGCCACGGCUAACUACGUG